CUGCUGUGGAACUUGUCUCUGUCUCUUUUUCUGAUUUUGUCCCUCAGUCGAAUUAUUUCUUCUGAGGAGGCAAGGACUGAAGUUGCUACAGACCCCUAAGGACAGGCCAUCGGUAACACUGGGUAAAUCAGAUCUCUUCCACGGGUCUAUCAAUGAGAAGAAAGUGCCAACUGAAAACUUUUAGAAAAUACCCAGUUUACUCAAGGAAAAUAACAUGCAUUGAAGGUGAUUGCUCAAUAGAGAGAAGUUGAAACAGCAGACUAAUUGCCUGUUUGUGACACCCAUGUAAUCAACUUGCCAUUUGUACUCAUCAGUUCAGGCUGUGUUUUCCCACUGAGACAUCAUUUACAGUGCUCUAAACAUAUUUUCACAACAUUCACCUGACAACAUCAGCUGAGAGAAAAAUUUUCAGACUGCCGAGAAACAUCAGGAGGCCAUGAAUUCUUAAUCAACACACCAAAUUAUGAAAAUGGCCUAUAGGUUGAGGUUGAUCUGAAAGAUAGGACUAUUUGUGAUCCAGAAUCAAAAGAGUCAAGAAAAGUCUGAGAAUUUCAUCCUUGGAGCAGAAAGUGAAAGUGUUCUGGAGCCAAAAGUAGUAACAAAGAUGGAGGGCAAGAGAUCAUUGGAUUAAAUCAUAUUGGCAGACCAAAUUUCAGAAGAAUCAACACACCAGAGACAAGAAGAACUUGAAGUUAAAGCAAAGUUCCCUUAUA
rnacentral:lncRNA from 1 species